CUGAAGCUUCCGUGGAGCAGGCAUUUACCAUGUUUGUAAAAAAAAAAUCCAGAAAAUGCAUUCAGUGGUUAUUUAGGUGUUAUUGUACACAGAAAGGAUGUUUAAUUGGAAUGUAACUUUUAUAAUUUUUUUUUUUUUUAAAGAAGCAAAGUCUCAUCACAAUCUAAAAAACUAAAACAAAUUGAAGAUCGCCAAAAAAUAAUUACAUCCAACAUGCAUAGGUCAACUUAAUACCGAAAGUAAUUAUUGUUGGUAUAC